rnacentral:rRNA from 1 species
UACGGGGGGAGCAAGCGUUGUUCGGAUUUACUGGGCGUAAAGGGCGCGUAGGCGGUCAGCACAAGUCAGUUGUGAAAUCUCCGGGCUUAACUCGGAAAGGUCAACUGAUACUGUGCGACUAGAGUGCAGAAGGGGCAACUGGAAUUCUCGGUGUAGCGGUGAAAUGCGUAGAUAUCGAGAGGAACACCGGUGGCGAAGGCGGCAUCCUGGACCAACACUGAC